UACGAAGGGGGCUAGCGUUGCUCGGAAUCACUGGGCGUAAAGCGCACGUAGGCGGCUUUUUAAGUCAGGGGUGAAAUCCUGGAGCUCAACUCCAGAACUGCCUUUGAUACUGAGAGCUUGAGUCCGGGAGAGGUGAGUGGCAACUGCGAGUGUAGAGGUGAAAUUCGUAGAUAUUCGCAAGAACACCAGUGGCGAAGGCGGCUCACUGGCCCGGUACUGACGGCUGAGGUGCGAAAGCGUGGGGAGGCAACAGGAUUAGAUACCCCGGU
rnacentral:rRNA from 1 species